rnacentral:lncRNA from 1 species
UAUAGGUAAAUUAAUAAAUAUAAAAAUAAAAUAAAAUAUAAGGGGUUGAAUUUAAAAGAGCAAGUAAAUAAAAUACUAAAGAAAAUAAAAAUAAAACCAGAAUAUUGAAAAUAAUAAAAAAAUGAAAAAUAAACAAGAUUAAAUAGUCAAGGAAUCGAAAAUAAAAAAGAAAUGAACUUUAAGGGAUAAAUUAAAAAGUUAGAAUUUGAGCUAAAGUGAGAUACAUGUAAGGGAAGAGGGACUCAUAUUGUAAAUAAUGAAAAGAAGGCCAUCAAGGAUCGAAAUGAAUCACGUUGAAACAACGAGGGACUAGCUGGAAAAUAUUCCUAGCCUUUUAUGCGCAAUGUUUUGAAGGACCCAGAUGUAACCCAAACGAAAUUUAAGAGCUAAAUUAAAAAAAACAAAAGAAAAUAGAAAAUGGGGCCUGGUCGAAUAGAGUUGCAAAGGAGAAGGACUAAUCUAGCAAAUCUCCUAUUUAGGGAUAAUGCACACCCCACUCCACCAAACACGCCGUUUCAUCAUCAUCAUUUAAACCAAAAAAAAAAAACUUUCCUUUUUUUUAUUCCAUUACCAACUUUCCCUUUUUUAUUCCAUUACCAACUUUCCCCUUUUUUAUUUUUUAUUUUAUUAUUCUAUUACCAGCCUUUCCCUAACCUUAAACAAAAAAAAUAGAGAGCUUCCCUGCUCUCUCCCCCUUUCCCUUCUCUUUUAUUUUCUGCUAGGGUUUCAAAGAAACCCAUCAUUGCCGCCCUUCAACCGCCGCGCCACCACCGCACUCGGUGGCUGGCGAUACACCAAAAUGGGCUCCUUUAGCUCUCCCCUUUUUUACUUGUUGGAGGCUAGUUCCAAAAACGAAAAGACAAGGGUUCAACCCCCUUUUUAGACUCAACCACGCCAAACGGAGGGGAAGGCUCCGAUAACGCGGCAACGGGCCGGAUCUGGUGAGAAUCCUUCCUCUUUCCUUUUAUUUUUUUUUUGUAUCUUUGUUUAAUAGAUUUGUAUAAAAAAUAAAAGAAAUAUUAAAGAAGCAAGAAAACGAAAAACGAAAAUAAAGAGAACAAAAUCGGAGAUCAACCUUCUGUGUGUUUUUUGUUUGAUUCCUUGAAAAAUACGUGAGUGAUACAAUUUUUGGAUCCCCCAUUUUACUAUGAAAAAUUGAAGGCUUUAUAGCCAAAAACCAUACAUUUUCUACCUAUUUCUUUGCUCCAAUUGCAGGUGUUGAAGUUGUGGAGAAUGAGGGGUGUGAAACAUGGGCGAAAACAUGGAGCGGGGUAUACGGGGAUCCUGUCUGGAGUGCUGAAGUGGGGGUUGAGUUUGUAGUCUGCUGAAAAUUUUUUAGAUAGUGGGCUGGUAGGGUUAGUUUAGGUUGUGGGCUGAUGGGAGUUUUAAUUUGGGCCAUGUAUUAUUAAUUGGACUGUUUUAUUAUUAUUUUUUGAAUUUUUUUGAUUUGGGCUCGGGCUAAGGUUGAAAUUAGGUUUGGUUUUAUUAGGCCCCGGACAAAAUUUAUGCCUUACACUCUUAAUAUACUAAUCUUUUCAAUUUCUUCUAGUAUUUAACUAGCUUUCCUACUAACAUUAAUAGUUUCUAUUUUAUUUACUUUGAAAAUUCUAACACAUAUCAUCUUGUAUAAGUGCUAUUCUCGAUUUAGAGGAAUUUAAAGAUGUUACAGCUUCAUUACAA